AAUAGAAUAUUAUAAGGGCGUGUUUCUUCCCGGUUUCACAGAGAGGAAGAGUCGAGAAGAUAGAGCUUCAAAUUCCCUUCUGUUGUCUGUCAAAGACAGGGUUGUUCUGUGCAAAUCAGAACCAUUUGUUCCUUUCUUCCCAGUAAACUGAAAUGAGGGGCAGAAGCUACAGCUACAGUCCUUCGCCACCAAGGGGUUACAGCCGAAGACGUCGUAGCCCCAGCCCCAAGGGUCGCUAUGGUGGUCAUGGUAGAGAUCUUCCUACAAGUCUUUUAGUUCGCAACCUUCGUCAUGACUGCAGGUCUGAAGAUCUACGAGGGCCAUUUGGCCAGUUUGGUCCUCUCAAGGACAUUUACUUGCCUCGAGAUUAUCACACUGGGUAAGUUUGCACGGUGUUUGCCUCUUAUGGCUUUCCAUAUCUGAAAAGUUCUUUUUUUUUUAAAAAAUAAAAACAAUUUUGCUUUUUACUUUUCUAUUGGGUUUAGUUGAACUUACAUGUUUGGAAUUUGCCCAAUUGUUUGUCUUCACAUUCUCUUGGAUGUGUUGGGGGAUAUUUUCCCCUUAUUAAUUAAUUAUAUGCAAUUGGUUCAUGGGUAUUUGGUUGUUUUUAUUGAAAGUGUUGAAGACACCAAUGAAGUAAUAAGAGUACUAUGUUGAAGACAACAAUGAAGUAAUAAGAGUGUUGUGUUGAAGAGACCAAUCAAGUAAGUAAGACUACUGUUCAGGAUGGUCUUAGUGUACAUGAAGAUUCGAAGGAAGUUGGUUAUGAAUACAUAGAGAGGAAGUUCAAGUGUUGAAGAAUUUCAUCUCAAUUUUAACUUUGGCUUCAACGAGGGAGCCACGUGGCUUUGGGUUUGUACAGUUUGUAGACCCAGCUGAUGCAGCAGAUGCCAAAUAUCAUAUGGAUGGCCAAAUUCUUCUUGGUCGUGAAUUGACUGUUGUAUUUGCUGAGGAGAACAGAAAGAGGCCUGCAGAAAUGAGGGCCAGAGAACGUUAUAGGGGUCAGUCAUAUGAACGCGGGCGGUCUCCCCUUCGCUAUUCUCGAUCACCACGCUAUGCACGGACUUAUUCUCGCAGUCCUGAUUAUUAUUCCCCUUCCCCAAGACGGAGGCAUUACUCAAGGUCGAUUUCGCCUAGACACGGGAGGUACAGGGAGAAAUCAUACUCAAGGUCACCUUAUGUGUCAAGGAGCCGUAGCCGCAGCUUUAGUAGGAGCCGCAGUCGAAGCCAGGAUUACUCUGGUUGACUGGUUAAUAGAGGAGCUUCCAGAGCUUAGUAUUUUAUCAAAAAGUAGGAAGCAGCGUCUGUGUUAGAAGUUUUAACUUCGAGUACGUGCUGCUUUGAUGCACUAGUAAUAAAGUUCAUCUUAGGAGUUUCUAAAGAAGAUCGACUUUCUAGGCUGGUGUAGACUAUAGCCGUCUUGAUGUACCGAUAAUUGUUGUUUUAUUAUUCCUCAGUUAUGAGUAGUUGAACGUUUUGCUAGUGGGUUACCCCCUCAUUUAAGUUCACGUUUUCAGGACUUAUUUUACAACCCAUUUAGAGCAAUUAGCAUAACAUGGCUAUUUCA